rnacentral:tRNA from 18 species
GCGGGUAUGGCGGAACUGGUAGACGCACCAGAUUUAGGUUCUGGCGAGCAAUCGUGGGGGUUCGAGUCCCUCUACCCGCACCA